AUCACUUGGCCCACCACCAGUUCCUUUUUUUAUCAGACUCCUUUAGUGAAGAACAGAAACACUUACCUACCAGAGGCCCCAGAGAAACAAUACUUACAUUCUGUGGUGGUUUAGAUAGAAAUGGACCCUCUCGACUUGUGUGUUCGAAUGCUUGGCCCAUAGGAAAUGGCACUAUUAGGAGGUGUGGCCUUGUUGGAGUGGGUGUGGCAUUGUUGGAGGAAAUGUUUCUCUGCAGGGUUUUGAGGUCUCCUAUGUUCAAGCUCCACCGAGUGUUGAACCCAGUCCCCUUCUGCUGCCUGCAGCUCACAAUGUAGAACUCUCCCUCUGUUCCUUCCUCAGCACCAUGUUUGCCUACAUGUCACGAUGCUUUCCCGCCUUGAUGAUAAUGGACUGAACCUCUGAACCUGUAAGUCAGCCCCAAUUAAAUGUUUUCCUUUAUAAGAGUUGCCUUGGUCAUGGUGCCUUCACAGCAAUGGAAACCCUAACUAAGACAUAUCCCAUUGUCCUUUUCUCUUUUGUCUUCUCCUUCAUCUCAACCCACACAAAUGGUCCACAAUAGCCUGAGCAUUCUGUAUUGCAAUCCCAUGCUAUUCCCACUUAGGUUUUUACUUUGAAGAGUGGGUUUGUGUCUUACUUUGCUUUCUAUGGUUUUGAUAAAACACCAUGACCAAAAGCAGCUUGGUAAGGAGAGGGUUAAUUUGGCAUAUAGGUUACACAUCAUCACUGAGGGAAGCCAAGGCAAGAUCUUAGGACAGGAAGCUGGAGGCACCAACAGAAGAGAGACCCUGGAGGAGUUCUAACUACUAGCUUGCUACCCAGCAAACUUUCUUAUAUAUCCCAGGGCCACCCGCCUAGGGAUAGCACCACCCACAAUGGGUGGGGCCCUCCCAGGGCCCUCCCACAUCAAUUAGCAACCAAGAUAAUACCCACAGACAUGCCUAGAGACCAAUCUGAUAGAGGCAAUUCCUCAAUGAGAUUCCCUUUUCUCAGGCAACUCCAGUUAACUGCCAACAUCUUUUUUGUAUUUUAGGUCUGAUUUGUCAUGUUCAGUUGUAUCAGAUCUUAAGGGAAAGUGAGUGGGAAUUUGAGCUGGAUUCACAAAUCAAUGAAUGCAGCUAAACACUCAUCUUAGAAACUAGUAUUAUCUAUUUACUCAUCUUAGUAAUGACUGUUAUCUAUUCUUGAGGACCAGCCUCCUCAGGAUGAACUACAGAGGGUGCCAAGAAAAUGGUACAUCUUUGUUUUGUAGCCAAGCAUACCGAGGUAGGUCCAGAGGUAGGUAUAGUGGACCAUGUGUGUGGAUUGAGUUUAUAUGACCAGUACAUGUGAUUUGAUUUAGCCAAUUGGUGAGGGGACCAGCGCUGAAGCCUGAUAUCAGUACUGUCUUCUUAUUGUCCUGCUGAAAUGCUAAUGUCAUCCUGGAACUCAGUAUGUCUGAUGUUCUUCUCCCCCUCCAUGAUGGGAUACAAAUGUUCAAAGUCAGGAAGCA
rnacentral:lncRNA from 1 species